rnacentral:rRNA from 1 species
AUUGAACGCUGGCGGCAGGCCUAACACAUGCAAGUCGAACGAGUGGCGGACGGGUGAGUAAUGUCUGGGAAACUGCCUGAUGGAGGGGGAUAACUACUGGAAACGGUAGCUACUACCGCCUACCAUCGGAUGUGCCCAAAUGGGAUUAGCUAGUAGGUGGGGUACAGGCUCACCUAGGCGACGAUCCCUAGCUGGUCUGAGAGGAUGACCAGUCACACUGGAACUGAGACACGGUCCAGACUCCUACGGGAGGCAGCAGUGGGGAAUAUUGCACAAUGGGCGCAAGCCUGAUGCAGCCAUGCCGCGUGUAUGAAGAAGGCCUUCGGGUUGUAAAGUACUUUAAGCUGGGAGGCGUUACCCGCAGAAUAAGCACCGGCUAACUCCGUGCCAGCAGCCGCGGUAAUUC